AGACCGAUAGCAAACAAGUACCGUGAGGGAAAAUUGAAAAGAACUUUGAAGAGAGAGUUCAAUAGUACGUGAAACUGUGUGGUGGUAAACGGAGGGGUUCUCGAAGUCUCUGUGGGGAACUCAACCUUGGUGUCGGGCGGUCUGGGCGUUUCCGAUCAGCAAUGACGGUGCGUUCAGUCCUGCUUGGCUCCCGGGUGCAUUUUCCCCGCAGUUUACGGCAGGAACCGUUUGGCUCGAAUCGAAGGCCUCGGGUGAAGUUGUCGGUUCUGCUGGCAGCCCUGGGUGUCCUGGCUUCGCGCUCGACGGGUACGUGAGAGGACUCGUAUAGCGAGCAACGCUCUGUUGCGGUUCUCAUCUCUCUGCCGAGUAGGUCGGCGGCCCCUCCGACCCGUCUUGAAACACGGAC
rnacentral:rRNA from 1 species